rnacentral:rRNA from 1 species
GACGAACGCUGGCGGCGUGCUUAACACAUGCAAGUCGAACGGAAAGGCCCUGCUUUUGUGGGGAGCUCGAGUGGCGAACGGGUGAGUAACACGUGAGUAACCUGCCCUUGACUUUGGGAUAACUUCAGGAAACUGGGGCUAAUACCGGAUAGGAGCUCCUGCUGCAUGGUGGGGGUUGGAAAGUUUCGGCGGUUGGGGAUGGACUCGCGGCUUAUCAGCUUGUUGGUGGGGUAGUGGCUUACCAAGGCUUUGACGGGUAGCCGGCCUGAGAGGGUGACCGGCCACAUUGGGACUGAGAUACGGCCCAGACUCCUACGGGAGGCAGCAGUGGGGAAUACUGCACAAUGGGCGGAAGCCUGAUGCAGCAACGCCGCGUGCGGGAUGACGGCCUUCGGGUUGUAAACCGCUUUCGCCUGUGACGAAGCGUGAGUGACGGUAAUGGGUAAAGAAGCACCGGCUAACUACGUG